rnacentral:rRNA from 1 species
AACGAACGCUGGCGGCAUGCCUAACACAUGCAAGUCGAACGAGACCUUCGGGUCUAGUGGCGCACGGGUGCGUAACGCGUGGGAACCUGCCCUUAGGUUCGGUAUAACUCCCCGUAAGGUGUGCUAAUACCGGUUAAUGUCUUCGGACCAACGAUUUAUCGCCUCUGGAUGGGCCCGCGUUGGAUUAGCUAGUUGGUAGGGUAAAAGCCUACCAAGGCGACGAUCCAUAGCUGGUCUGAGAGGAUGAUCAGCCAGACUGGGGCUGAGACACGGCCCAGACUGCGACGGAGGGGAGCAGUAGGGAAUAUUAGGGAAUGGGCGAAAGCCUGGUCCAGCAACGCCGCGUGUGUGAUGAAGGCCUUAGGAUUGUAAAGCUCUUUGACCCGGGAUGAUAAUGACAGUACCGGGAGAAUAAGCUCCGGCUAACUCCGUG